ensembl:snoRNA
AUCCUUUUGUAGUUCAUAAAUGUGAUUUUUUUUUUCACUCACAUGUGAGAUAUACCUCCCUUAAGGUUGUUAUACCAUCAGCACAUUACCCAUCUGGCA